rnacentral:rRNA from 1 species
AUUGAACGCUGGCGGCAUGCCUUACACAUGCAAGUCGAACGGUAACGCGGGGCAACCUGGCGACGAGUGGCGAACGGGUGAGUAAUACAUCGGAACGUACCCAGUAAUGGGGGAUAGCCCGGCGAAAGCCGGAUUAAUACCGCAUACGACCUAAGGGUGAAAGAGGGGGAUCGCAAGACCUCUCGUUAUUGGAGCGGCCGAUGGCAGAUUAGGUAGUUGGUGGGGUAAAGGCCUACCAAGCCGACGAUCUGUAGCUGGUCUGAGAGGACGACCAGCCACACUGGGACUGAGACACGGCCCAGACUCCUACGGGAGGCAGCAGUGGGGAAUUUUGGACAAUGGACGCAAGUCUGAUCCAGCAAUGCCGCGUGCGGGAAGAAGGCCUUCGGGUUGUAAACCGCUUUUGUCAGGGAAGAAAUCUUCUGGGUUAAUACCUCGGGGGGAUGACGGUACCUGAAGAAUAAGCACCGGCUAACUACGUGCCAGCCGCCGCGGUAAAAC